UACGUAGGACCCAAGCGUUAUCCGGAGUGACUGGGCGUAAAGAGUUGCGUAGGUGGUUAUAUAAGUGAAUAGUGAAAUCUGGCGGCUCAACCGUACAGGCUAUUAUUCAAACUGUAUAACUCGAGAAUGGUAGAGGUAACUGGAAUUUCUUGUGUAGGAGUGAAAUCCGUAGAUAUAAGAAGGAACACCAAUGGCGUAGGCAGGUUACUGGACCAUUUCUGACACUGAGGCACGAAAGCGUGGGGAGCGAACCGG
rnacentral:rRNA from 1 species